rnacentral:rRNA from 1 species
GAUGAACGCUGACAGAAUGCUUAACACAUGCAAGUCGAGUUGUGGUGGACGGGUGAGUAACGCGUAAAGAACUUGCCUCACAGAUAGGGACAACAAUUGGACAGGAAUGCUAAUACCUGAUACUGUGAGAGAGCUUUGCGUCCCAUUAGCUAGUUGGAGAGGUAACGGCUCACAAAGGCGAUGAUGGGUAGCCGGCAUGAGAAGGUGAUCGGCCACAAGGGGACUGAGGGACGACGCUUACUCCUACGUGAGGCAGCGGUGGGGAAUAUGGGACAAUGGACCAAAGGCUGAUCCAGCAAUUAUGUGUGCAAAAUGAAGUUUUCGGAAUGGAAAGUGUUUUCAGUUUAGAAGCGGUACCAACAGAAGAAGUGACGGCUAAAUACGUGCCAGCAGCCGCGGUAAUUC